rnacentral:rRNA from 1 species
GACGAACGCUGGCGGCGUGCUUAACACAUGCAAGUCGAACGGGUCUGCCCUGUUUUUUGCGGGGUGGGUCAGUGGCGAACGGGUGAGUAACACGUGAGUAACCUGCCCCUCACUUCUGGAUAACCGCUUGAAAGGGUGGCUAAUACGGGGUGUUCUGGCUGUGCCGCAUGGUGUGGCUGGGAAAGAUUCACUUUUGUGGUGUUUUGGUGGGGGAUGGGCUCGCGGCCUAUCAGCUUGUUGGUGGGGUGAUGGCCUGCCAAGGCUUUGACGGGUAGCCGGCCUGAGGGGGUGGGCGGUCACAGUGGGACUGAGAUACGGCCCAGACUCCUGCGGGAGGCAGCAGUGGGGGGUAUUGCACAAUGGGCGGAAGCCUUAUGCAGCGACGGCGCGUGAGGGAUGGAGGCCUUCGGGUUGUGAACCUCUUUCGCCGGUGAAGAAGGUCCUGCUCUUUGGGGUGGGGUUGACGGUAGCCGGGUUAUGAAGCGCCGGCUAACUACGUG